rnacentral:rRNA from 1 species
UAUGUGUCGUCUCUCGCAUAUCAAUAAGCGGAGGAAAAGAAACUAACAAGGAUUCCCCUAGUAACGGCGAGUGAAGCGGGAAGAGCUCAAAUUUGAAAUCUUAAAGGGUUUCCCUUUACGAAUUGUAGUUUAAAGAAGUGUUUUCUGUUGAGGUUUUGGUAAAAGUUCUUUGGAAUAGGACAUCAUAGAGGGUGAGAAUCCCGUAUUUGACCUUUACUUUCAACUUUGUGAUACACUUUCAAAGAGUCGGAUUGUUUGGGAAUGCAGUCCAAAAUGGGUGGUAAAUUUCAUCUAAAGCUAAAUAUUGGCGAGAGACCGAUAGCGAACAAGUACCGUGAGGGAAAGAUGAAAAGAACUUUGAAAAGAGAGUUAAACAGUACGUGAAAUUGUCAAAAGGGAAGCGUUUGACACCAGUGUUGUUUUUCUGAAAAUCAAUUAAAGAACUGUUUAUGCUAAGUUGUUUAGACUUUAUCAGCUAACUGUUUAGUUUUGAGCUUUUCUUUAAUGCACUUUUCAGUUAACAAGUCAACAUCAAUUUCUUUUGCUGUAAAAAAGCUUGAGGAAGGUGGCUUGAGAUUCGUCUUAAGUGUUUAUAGCCUCUUGCCUAUGCAGUCGGAGAGAUUGAGGUCUGCAGCGUAGAUCCUUCGGGGCUAAAUGCAUUUGUGCUAAGUUAUAGCAUUUUAUAGACAACUUGUUGACUAUGAUUUGUCUUGUAGCUUACUCGCUUAUGUUAUUUUACCUACGCUUAGGAUGUUGAUAUGCAUGACUGAUAU